rnacentral:rRNA from 1 species
UACGUAGGGUGCGAGCGUUAAUCGGAAUUACUGGGCGUAAAGUGUGCGCAGGCGGCUUCGCAAGUCGAGUGUGAAAUCCCCGAGCUUAACUUGGGAAUUGCGCUCGAAACUACGGAGCUGGAGUGUGGCAGAGGAAGGUGGAAUUCCACGUGUAGCGGUGAAAAUGCGUAGAGAUGUGGAGGAACACCGAUGGCGAAGGCAGCCUUCUGGGCCAACACUGACGCUCAUGCACGAAAGCGUGGGGAGCAAACAGG